rnacentral:rRNA from 1 species
GAGUUUGAUUCUGGCUCAGGAUGAACGCUGGCGGCGUGCCUAACACAUGCAAGUCGAGCGCGGUUGUGCUUAGUAUUGAGUGUUUUAUUGAUAUAAAACAUUGAAUUCUAUGCACAACUGAGCGGCGGACGGGUGAGUAACGCGUGGGUAACCUGCCCUAUACACAUGGAUAACAUACUGAAAAGUUUACUAAUACAUGAUAAAAUAGUUUUUCGGCAUCGAAGAAUUAUCAAAGUGUUAGCGGUAUAGGAUGGACCCGCGUCUGAUUAGCUAGUUGGUGAGAUAACUGCCCACCAAGGCGACGAUCAGUAGCCGACCUGAGAGGGUGAUCGGCCACAUUGGAACUGAGACACGGUCCAAACUCCUACGGGAGGCAGCAGUGGGGAAUAUUGCACAAUGGGCGCAAGCCUGAUGCAGCAACGCCGCGUGAACGAUGAAGGUCUCCGGAUCGUAAAGUUCUGUUGCAGGGGAAGAUAAUGACGNNCCCCU